rnacentral:misc_RNA from 1 species
UACACUCGCUCUUCUUUCUCCGGCGAACUUCGGUUCUACUCUUUCUACCACCGCCGUUCAUUUAUCCCGGUGAAGCCCAGCUCUAACAGCUUCAUCCAAAGAUGAGUUUCAGCAAAUGGGGUGGGAAGCCUUCAAAUUCAUCAGAAAAGCAGAAAGCUUCCUCUACACCAACAGUUGAGGAGAUAAAUCGAGGUGUUGGAGAUAUUGGUUUGAACUCUGAACAGAAUGAAGGAUGGGAAGUGUAUGCUAGGAAGCCCAAGAACAAGGGUGGAAGCAGUGCUGGGAAGCAAUGGGCUCCUCAGAAUCCUAGUCCAAAAGCUUGGGGAAACCAGAAUACUAAAGCUUGGGGUCAUCCAGAUGUUGGUAAGAAAUCGGGAACGCGUAACAAUGCUGGAUCAGGGCGGGGUUCUGGAAAUAACUGGUCUACACCUAGUGAUCCUCAAAAACUUGCAAGGCCGCAUCUAUAUGAUGGAGGUUUCCCAUCAUCUGCUCCAGUUCCUCCUGCUCUGAAGAAUGGUUGGGAUUGGUCUUCUAGAGUAGCCUCAGCUCAUCCCAAGGAUAAUUCCCAGGUUGCUGCUGCUGCUGAUGAUGAUAAGGCCAGUGAACAUGAUGCUGAGGAUAAUGAAUUGGAUUUUCUUGAUGAAAGUGAUGAUGACCUUCACAGUGAUGACUUUGAUUCAGAUGUGGGUGAAAUGAGUUAUGAGACACGCAAGAAAAAUCCUUGGUUCAAUCAACUUUUUCACUCUCUUGACAGUUUGACUGUCACUGAGAUCAAUGAGCCUGAACGACAGUGGCACUGCCCUGCAUGCAAAGGUGGUCCAGGCGCAAUUGAAUGGUUUACAGGGUUG